rnacentral:rRNA from 1 species
GCAGUAGCCACGGGAAAACGUAGGCGGCAAGCGUUGUCCGGAAUUAUUGGGCGUAGAGGGAGCGCAGGUGGGACGGUAAGUCCGUCUUAAAAGGCAGGGGCUCAGCCCCUGUAAGGGAUGGAAACUAUCGAUCUUGAGUGCCGGAGAGGAAAGCGGAAUUCCCAGUGUAGCGGUGAAAUGCGUAGAUAUUGGGAAGAACACCAGUGGCGAAGGCGGCUUUCUGGACGGCAACUGACACUGAGGCUCGAAAGCCAGGGGAGCGAACGGGAUUAGAUACCCCGGUAGUCCCUGUCUCUUAUACA